rnacentral:rRNA from 1 species
CCUACGGGAGGCAGCAGUGGGGAAUCUUGCGCAAUGGGCGAAAGCCUGACGCAGCCAUGCCGCGUGAAUGAUGAAGGUCUUAGGAUUGUAAAAUUCUUUCACCGAGGACGAUAAUGACGGUACUCGGAGAAGAAGCCCCGGCUAACUUCGUGCCAGCAGCCGCGGUAAUACGAAGGGGGCUAGCGUUGCUCGGAAUUACUGGGCGUAAAGGGAGCGUAGGCGGAUAGUUUAGUCAGAGGUGAAAGCCCAGGGCUCAACCUUGGAAUUGCCUUUGAUACUGGCUAUCUUGAGUACGGAAGAGGUAUGUGGAACUCCGAGUGUAGAGGUGAAAUUCGUAGAUAUUCGGAAGAACACCAGUGGCGAAGGCGACAUACUGGUCCGUUACUGACGCUGAGGCUCGAAAGCGUGGGGAGCAAACAGGAUUAGAUACCCUGGUAGUCCACGCUGUAAACGAUGAGUGCUAGUUGUCGGCAUGCAUGCAUGUCGGUGACGCAGCUACGCAUAGACACUCCGCCGUGGGAGGUACGGUCGCGAAGAAUUAAACUACAAUAGAGUUAGACGGCGUGAGACGUGACCGAACGGACGACGACGAGGGAGGAGG